rnacentral:rRNA from 1 species
GAAUCUUCCGCAAUGGACGAAAGUCUGACGGAGCAAAGCAGCGGGAGUGAUGAAGGUUUUCGGAGAGGAAAGCUCUGUUGCCAGGGAAGAACGCUUGGGAGAGUAACUGCUCUUAAGGUGACGGAACAUGAGAAGAAAGCCCCGGCUAACUACGUGCCAGCAGCCGCGGUAAUACGUAGGGGGCAAGCGUUGUCCGGAAUUAUUCGGCGUAAAGCGCGCGCAGUCUGUUCAUUAAGUCUGGUGUUUAAGGCUAGGGCUCAACCCUGGUUCGCACUGGAAACUGUUGAACGUGAGUGCAGAAGAGGAAAGUGGAAUUCCACGUGUAGCGGUGAAAUGCGUAGAGAUGUGGAGGAACACCAGUGGCGAAGGCGACUUUCUGGGCUGUAACUGACGCUGAGGCGCGAAAGCGUGGGGAGCAAACA